rnacentral:rRNA from 1 species
GAUGAACGCUGACAGCAUGCUUAACACAUGCAAGUCUACUUGAAUUUGGGUUUUUUAACUUAGAUUUGGGUGGCGGACGGGUGAGUAACGCGUAAAGAACUUGCCUCACAGUUAGGGACAACAUUUGGAAACGAAUGCUAAUACCUGAUAUUAUGAAUAUAUGGCAUCAUAUAAUUAUGAAAGCUAUAAGCGCUGUGAGAGAGCUUUGCGUCCCAUUAGCUAGUUGGAGAGGUAACGGUUCACCAAGGCGAUGAUGGGUAGCCGGCCUGAGAGGGUGAACGGCCACAAGGGGACUGAGACACGGCCCUUACUCCUACGGGAGGCAGCAGUGGGGAAUAUUGGACAAUGGACCAAGAGUCUGAUCCAGCAAUUCUGUGUGCACGAUGACGUUUUUCGGAAUGUAAAGUGCUUUCAGUUGGGAAGAAAAAAAUGACGGUACCAACAGAAGAAGUGACGGCUAAAUACGUG